rnacentral:rRNA from 1 species
GAUGAACGCUGGCGGCGUGCCUAAUACAUGCAAGUCGAGCGAACAGACGAGGAGCUUGCUCCUCUGACGUUAGCGGCGGACGGGUGAGUAACACGUGGAUAACCUACCUAUAAGACUGGGAUAACUUCGGGAAACCGGAGCUAAUACCGGAUAAUAUAUUGAACCGCAUGGUUCAAUAGUGAAAGACGGUUUUGCUGUCACUUAUAGAUGGAUCCGCGCCGCAUUAGCUAGUUGGUAAGGUAACGGCUUACCAAGGCAACGAUGCGUAGCCGACCUGAGAGGGUGAUCGGCCACACUGGAACUGAGACACGGUCCAGACUCCUACGGGAGGCAGCAGUAGGGAAUCUUCCGCAAAGGGCGCAAGCCUGACGGAGCAACGCCGCGUGAGUGAUGAAGGUCUUCGGAUCGUAAAGCUCUGUUAUUAGGGAAGAACAAAUGUGUAAUUAACUAUGCACGUCUUGACGGUACCUAAUCAGAAAGCCACGGCUAACUACGUG